UGGGAUAUAAUUCAGUGGUAGAGUGCUUGCCUAACAUGCAUGAAGCCCUAGGUUUAAUCCCUAGUACUGCAU
rnacentral:tRNA from 1 species